GAGAAAACUUAUAGGAUAACCACUUUAAAGGUUUCAAUAUUACAACUGAGUGAGAAACAUUUUUCCUGUCUGUAACAGGGUGGCACUCACCCCUCUCUCUGGUUGCAGAGAGUCUUCAAUGAUUCAGCCCUCUGGCCAAUUCACCCACAGUCUGUAAGUUCAACACAAGCAAAACAAACCCCUUCCAGGAUAUGCAGUCUGGGAGAGGCCUACCUCAGUACCCCACAGUUGGAACAUCUCUUGCUUCAGCCCUCCCUGGGCUCAGUCCCUUAAAUAGUCCCACAGUCUUUAAAUAGUCCUGACUCUGGCAUGGGGCCAUAUCCCCAAGGCUUCCUCCCUGGACCCAAUGCCUUCACCCUCUCUGGGCCCUAUUGGCCCUAGCUGGGCUGCUAAACAGUUUAGGUCCCCUUCUGGGGGUAUAUCAAAGUCCAAUAUCACUGACCCUCUUGGAAGUCUUCAAUCUCCUCUCCUGGAGAUAGUUCAGUUCCCCUCUCGGGGGUUAGGCCAGUUCAGUGGCCAGUUGGGGGAAACCAGGCAUGACCACUACUUCAGGUCCCAGCCCAGGAACCCUAUAAGUAGCAGCCAUGUGCUACUGCAUUCCCUUUAACUCAACUGCUUCUGUUCCCUGGGCUACUUCCUCACAGCCCUUCUUCACCUUCAUGAACACUUCACCCUUACCUUUGGGCAUUCAGCUACCAAAUCUCAGCAGUCAGCCAGGAGCUCUUUCUUACUCCCCUGGUCCCUGCCAUCAACUUCUCUGUCCAUGGUACUACAGUUCCUUCUGCCAGCCAGGAACACCAUCCUUGAUCCUCUGCUUCCCUCCAACAACUGACUCUGUUCAGGUACUGCAGCUCUUUUUAUAUGGCCCUGUUGGGCCCGGAUUGGCUGCUUCCCUGCAGUCUCUUCCUGAUUGGCUGUUUGGAGAACUCACCUCGAUUGCUCUUUUCUGGGACAGGGUAUGAUAUGACCAUGAGGCCUCCAGGAGAAGGCCUUUGGGUCUCAUACACUUGUCAGACCAUCCCACAAAAAAAUUAGAUUUUUUUUUUAAAUUCCCAUUCCACAACAGAAUGAAACAAAGGCCUUUUCAAGUUUUUCAUGAAAAACAAGAGAGACAGAAACCUACCCCAAAAUACUCAAUAGCUUGGGUAGUUAGGACAUUCUGCUGGAAUGCAGAAAAUUCAGGUUCAUGUCCCUGCUCUGAAUCAAACCAGCUCUACUCAACAGGCAACCACAUGGUCAAAAUAGGAACCCCAGCUGACGAAAAGGACAUAGAAAACAAGCUUCAGCCAAUACAUUCAAAAAUAGUAAUUGUACCUUUUCCACUCAUGAACUCUGAGAAAAAUUCAUCCCAGGAGUUAUAACUGGGGAUGUCUGAGACGUUGUUUAAGAAAUGGAAAAACGAUGCAGCGGUAUCUUGAGGAUUUCGAAACAACACCCGUAUCUGGAGUGGGAGGAAGAGGUUUCUCAACAAAAGAUUAAAUAAAAUUGCACAGGUUCUUCUCUGCACACCACUUUUCAAGUCAACCAGAAAAAGGAACAUGGACUACUGGUGUACUAUAUUCUGGUCUGGACUGUUUUCUAGUCACAAGCACCUGGAGCUGUAAUCACAGUUGGACUGAGCUACUGAUGCAUUUUAUGGAAAAAAGGGGCCCUGUGAACCCUACAGUCAAAGAUGAGAGGCAAGAAAGGUCAGGUGGGUAUCACAAAUGGCAGGCUCAGUAGAGACGCAGCCAAGCCCACCAGAGAACAACACACGAUGGCAACUUUCUCCUUCCCCUUCUGAUGGGAGAAGAGACCAUGGCUAUCGCAUUGCACCCUGCUGACAGACUGGGAGCAAUGAAGGGAGGCUAACACUGAGUAUGUGUAGGUGUGGAAGGAACGCAGCAGGGAAUGACAGCCAUAAUUGAGCAAGAGGGAAAUAAUCAUCACUUGUUAUAUGUUAUAAAAAUGUUAAA